rnacentral:rRNA from 1 species
AUUGAACGCUGGCGGCAUGCUUUACACAUGCAAGUCGAACGGCAGCGCGGGCUUCGGCCUGGCGGCGAGUGGCGAACGGGUGAGUAAUGCAUCGGAACGUGCCCAGUAGUGGGGGAUAGCCCGGCGAAAGCCGGAUUAAUACCGCAUACGACCUGAGGGUGAAAGCGGGGGACCGAAAGGCCUCGCGCUAUUGGAGCGGCCGAUGUCGGAUUAGCUAGUUGGUGGGGUAAAGGCUUACCAAGGCGACGAUCCGUAGCUGGUCUGAGAGGACGACCAGCCACACUGGGACUGAGACACGGCCCAGACGCCUACGGGAGGCAGCAGUGGGGAAUUUUGGACAAUGGGGGCAACCCUGAUCCAGCCAUGCCGCGUGCGGGAAGAAGGCCGUCGGGUUGUAAACCGCUUUUGUUCGGGAAGAAAUCCUCUGGGCUAAUACCCCGGGGGGAUGACGGUACCGGAAGAAUAAGCACCGGCUAACUACGUGC